rnacentral:rRNA from 1 species
UACAGAGGUCCCAAGCGUUGUUCGGAUUCAUUGGGCGUAAAGGGUGUGUAGGUGGCGCCGUAAGUGGGGUGUGAGAUUUCGGAGCUUAACUCCGAAACUGCAUUCCAUACUGCGGUGCUUGAGGACUGGAGAGGAGACUGGAAUUUACGGUGUAGCAGUGAAAUGCGUAGAUAUCGUAAGGAAGACCAGUGGCGAAGGCGGGUCUCUGGACAGUUCCUGGCACUGAGGCACGAAGGCCAGGGGAG